rnacentral:tRNA from 2 species
GGAUGUAGCGCAGUUGGUAGCGCGCCUGGUUUGGGACCAGGAUGUCGCAGGUUCGAAUCCUGUCAUU